rnacentral:rRNA from 1 species
UACGUAGGUGGCAAGCGAUACUCGGAAUCACUAGGCGUAAAGCGCAGGUAGGCGGUUUGAUAAGUCUGUUGUGAAAGCUCCCGGCUUAACUGGGAGAGGUCAACGGAAACUGUCAGGCUAGAGUGUGGUAGAGGUAGCUGGAAUUCCCGGUGUAGCGGUGAAAUGCGUAGAUAUCGGGAGGAAUACCUAUGGCGAAAGCAGGCUACUGGACCAUCACUGACGCUGAUCUGCGAAAGCCAGGGGAGCAAACGGG